GCAGUCCAAGAAUAUUAGUCAAUGCUCGCAAGAGUGAACUAGCUAACUGAAAUCCUUGGUGUGUCAUCAAGGAUAACGUAAGGGAAAAUAAUGAUAUUACCUUACUAUUAGUGUCGUCCAAGUGCUCGUGCCAGAAGACUCGGUAAGGCGAGAGACGCAAACGUUAUUCGUCUUGAUCAGGCGUAAAGGGUAUGUAGGCGGUUUUAAGAAUUCAAAAAAAAGUUUAUAAAUAUAAUACUAACAAAACAAAAAGGUGUUAUAAUUUUUAAAACAGAAUCAAUUAAAGCUAGAAUCUAACAGAGGUUAAAACAAUACUUAUGGUAGGUGUACCAACCUAAGAUAAUAAGUAGAGUUUUAAGGGCGAAGGCUUUUACCCACUAAAGAUUGACGCUGAGAAACGAAGGUGAGGAAAGAAAAAAGGAUUAGAGACCCUUGUAUCCCUCACUGUCAACGAUGAAUGGUAGUUACUAGUAAGAAAUAAACUAGAGGCGAUGUUAACACGUAAACCAUUCCGCCUUGUGAGUACGACUGCAAAGUUAAAAACAAAAAAAUUAGUCGGUUUCGGAGCAAACGAAGUGAAGCAUGUUAUUUAAUUC
rnacentral:rRNA from 1 species